AUACGGAGGGUGCAAGCGUUGUUCGGAAUUAUUGGGCGUAAAGCGCGGGUAGGCGGUCUGUUAAGUCUGGUGUGAAAGCCCUGGGCUCAACCCAGGAAGUGCAUUGGAUACUGGCAGACUUGAGUAUGGGAGAGGAAAGCGGAAUUCCGAGUGUAGGAGUGAAAUCCGUAGAUAUUCGGAGGAACACCAGUGGCGAAGGCGGCUUUCUGGACCAAUACUGACGCUGAGACGCGAAAGCGUGGGGAGCAAACAGGAUUAGAAACCCCAGUAGUCC
rnacentral:rRNA from 1 species